UUGUGUUGGGUCGGGGUGGGAUGUGGUUGGGGUGGACACACACUUUCCAUUCCUGUGACACUUGGUUGGCACAAUCUUCCCCAUCAGUGUGAGACCCUGUGAGGCAAAAGACCUCUCACCUGUCCCUACAGCCAUUUCUGACAUUUCCUGCUAACUAGAUAACACAAGAAGGUUUCCACUCCCAGGAUGGAGGGCUCACUCUCCCUAGGACUUUGGGGACCCUUGCUCAUCUCACAGGCCCAAUGAUUUGGGUGGCCCUGCCACCUCCACUCUCUCUUGCCUUUAGACUAAUUGCCAAGUGGAACAGACCCAGAAAACAAAUAGUUUCCACCCACAGACACCCAGGGGAGCAGGCUGGAUGAGUUCACACCCCCCAAAACUUCCACCUGCUCCUCUGUACGAACCCAAUGCUCCAGAGCUCUCUUCUAAAAUAACAUCAAAAGAAUGUACUCCCUUGCUUAACACCCCCAGUUCUAGGUAACAUCUUCAGAGCAUUCCAAAGUGCACAUCUACAGGGGAGUGCAGGGGACACAAAGACUGAACUGCUUGCCUUCCUACCUGGCCUGUUAGCUUGGGUUAAGUUCAAUGUAGGUCAGACAGCAUACCCCUGGGGCACACCGUCCCGUCCCUUUCUCCAGGCCUCUCAAUACUUCCUCAGAAUUUUCCUUCCUUUGGAUCCACUUGUCUGCAGUUCAGGAGUCAGUGCAGGGGCCAAGACUCAGCAGCCUCCCCUAAAGUGAAGCUGACCUUGGGUACCCGCCUUCCCCCACUUCCCAUUUCCUACAAAUCUCCUUAACUUGGUUCCAACCACACCUCACCCCCACCUCAGUCCAAGGCAAGCUCAGAGACACCCUGACUAUUCUGUUCAUAGUCACAUUCCCAGAGCCUGCCACACCUCAGAAGUCAAACAACCACUCACAAAGCAAAGGAAAAAACUACAAUAAAACCAGAACCCAAUUCCCAAAGCUCUGUGAGCCCUGCUUUUUCAGUCUUCAAUAUAGGAGUGCAGAGCUCAGUGUGGAGAACCCAUAGUCCCAGCUCCUUGUGAAGCUGAGGCAGGACGAUCACUGGAGAGAAUAGCCCAGGGAAGAGGGAAGACCUCAUCUUAAAAAGCUAAAUGUUUUCAGCCUAGUACCAGCUUGGUGGGAUAAGGGAGGUGCCCUGUUGACUUGAAUGGAGAGGCAGUAAGACAGUCUUCUAAGGUAACUUUCCAUUAGACCACUGAGGUCACUUAACACAGGAAAAAAUAACACACACUGGGACCCAAACAUGUGCACUGACCUGCUUCCAGUAGGAAAAGGUUGUACCCCUCAUAUCCCAAGUGACUGACUCCCUAGAUAUCUGAAAUGUCUGAGGCUGGUGCUUCCAAGAGUGUGCUCCCGGGCAGUGGUAGGAGGCCAGGGCUAGGAUUUGGACAGGGGGAGGGAAACUGCAAACACAGGCCUGCAUGUGGACUGGUGAAUCCUGACAAAGGCCAGGGAUGCAGUAGACAUUCUGGGACCCCUGACUCCGUUUGAUGGCAGGACCUCUACUCACCACCAUAGGAAGGAAGGAGGCUUGUGUUUGGCCAUCAUCCUAACGUGGUAGGCAGCAGGGUAUGUGUUAAAUUGCUUUGUUUAGGAGAAGGAACUUGGGGUUCCAGAAUGCCUGGGUCGCUCAGUCUGUCUUCCUCAUCUGAGAUGUUGCCAACCUAUUCCCAUAGGCUUAUUUGCAUAGUGUCAUGGUCACUUAACCUGUGUCCUACCCUGGCCCCAACACCAAAACCAGAGAAAUAACACCGGUAAAUAUUAGCCACUUUCAUCUCAUAAUCUGUUCCCUCAUGCUAUUCCUUCUCUGAGACCCUCUGAUCCCUCCUCUCUGUGAUAGGCAGUUGCUGCAGGGACCACCCUACCCCACUGCAUAGUUCUCUGGCCUGGAUACUUAGCUGGAGUUGAAGUUCCCAUGGUUACUACCGGUGCAUAUUUAUUGAACAUGUGGAUGUGCUCAGCACUGUGUGAGGCACUGUCCAUACACCAGGGCUGAGCAGAGGAGUAAGGGUACUAAUAGAGAAGCUGAAGAAGCCAUAGAGGUCAGGCUGCUGGAAAUGCUGGCCCUGAAGCAGAAAGCCCUACCUCCAAGCCUUGCUUCAGUCUGGAGCCACUGACCCAUGCUUUGCCACUGCAGAAAGAACAACAGAGGCUUAGAAUCCCUUCACCUCCAGCCCAGGCCCAUCCUAGGAGGUUCCUGGAUAUGAAGUCAGGCCUCUCCCCUUUGUCAGUGACAAGACAGGCAGACACUUCCAGGAGAGGAAAAGGAAAAGACCCGGAAGUAGCAGCAAUGAGAUGGGCAGGAGGGCAGGCGUUGCACACUAGGGGUGGGGGAGGGUACCAGCACCUUUGAGAUGGAGCGGCCAAGGGCAUGAACCUCGGUGCUGGAUGCUGUUGGCCCCGGAGCUAGAGGGAUGACCUGUGGGAUGACGACUGCAUAGCGACAUGGGCACCUCGAUGCGUUUAAUGAAAGUAAAUAACUAGAGGGGCUUUGUAAAAACUGCCUUUCGGAAGCAGGACAGACGCUUAGCUGCUGAGCCCUGGCAAAUCUUCAGCACCAAACGAAACAAAACACAGCACACGUGCACAGGCCCACUGCCACCACUGGACUGCACUCCCAACACGGUGAGCACUUACAUGGGUGGGCCUCAGUGGCACUAACAGUUAUGAUAGCUUCCUGCCAAUUCUGGGAUUGCGACCCCAAAGCAAAGGUCCCUUCUCAGGUCCUGCCUGGCACCUAGCUGUUUGAUAUGAGGUGGCUGUCAACCCAGGUGGAGAACACCAUCCAUUCAGAUCACUGCGGGUCAGGAGGGCAAACCAGUGAAAUUUGGAAGUCUGAUUAGUGGGUGGACCCCCUUCAGAGACCCACAGGCUGCCUGCCCUGAAGAGAAGCAGGAAAUUCUGCCCAAGUGGAAGGUUUCUGGGGCUCUCCACAAUUGGAAGGCUCUCAUACUGGCUGGAGACUCCAUAGAAGGCACUGGUCAUCGAUGUUGGUGUUGAGGUCUGCCUUCCAGAGACAGAGGAAGGUGUGUUGUCUGCUGGUGUGUCCUAGGGUUCCAAGGACCAGAGAACAGGACUUUCAAAGAAUGGGUCCAGGGGCAGACAAGGAGAGCCAGUAGACUUAAGUUCAUUUUCACCAAUAUGGAUAAUGUGGGAAUUUUACAGGGGUUAUGCAUGUUUAGCAUAGUACUCUUGGUACAUUGUAGGUUCGGAAGGGCCAGUGUCUAAGCAAAGAAAACUGCACACCUAUUGGUUUUGUGCUGGUUGGUAGGAAACAAAAGGGAUAAUUGGAGUGAACUGUCUGUAGGUACCACUUGUGACCCUGUGGCACAAACGUCCAGUGGCUGCAUGCACAUUGAAAUCACCUGUCUCCACCUGAACACCCUUUACCAGUGCUCUCUAGACAAAGCUGGGAAGCAAUUUACUCUAGGGAAGAAACAGUUCACAUUCCAUUAUUAGAAAAGUUACUUGCUUUUGUAACUUUUGCUACAUAUUUUAUUUGUAUCUAAAUGUCUUAGGCAAUCUAAGAACAAAUGUAAAAGUAAAGAUGCAGUAAAAAGGAAUUGCUUGGUGUUCCUGGCCCCCGUGUGUGAACAAAAGCCUUAAACAAAGACAGCUGUAAACAAAGUCCCAUGGGUUAAGCUUCUUUUCUUCUUCUUUUAGCUUUUUGGUUUUUGACUUUUGUAAUUUUCUUUUUUGAUACUUAACAUGUAUGUGCUCUAAAAAAUAAUUAACAUGGAAAUAGAUUGAGAUGUUGCCUUUAAUGUCUUAUGAUAUUUUCAUGACAAUCCAAGCACAAUGUUAAGAACACUUGUAUUAAAGUUCGUGUGAGCAGAAUAAAAAUUUUAUGAAUGGAUUUUUUUCAACUAUCAAAAAAAAGAAAAGAAAAAUGGGGGCAGGACUUGGGUACAGCUCAGUGAAAGAACCUUUGACCUGGAAGGACUAGAAGGAGAGAAGAAAAAAACAAUUGGUUCAUGGCAGGCAUGGGAGAGCCUCUGCUAUCCCCGAAUCCUGGCUCGGUGCCAGUCUUUCUGGUUUGCUUCCAAAACAGUGAGAAUUAAGUUCAUAGCUGCCCACGUGGGUGCAUGUGAAUUAAUUCUUGGUUGCAUAGUGUAUAAAUUACUUUAAGUUUGCUGUAACUAAAUACUGCAGACAGCCUAAGAGAGGAGAGAUUUAUAUCGCCAUCCCAGUCCCUCAUAGCAGGGUAGGCAUGGCAGAAUGAGUCCAUCUAGUACUAAGGAGACAAGAUGGUGGCUGUUCAGAUGGCAUGGGACAGGAAACCAAUGCCACAAGCCCAAACCAGGAGUGUGUAUAACCUUCAAGGACUUGCCCCUAGUCUUAUUGUCAUUGACAAGCCCCAUACCUCUUAAAAGCUCCAUUGCCUACAAAAUAGAGCCACAGGCUGAGGACUGGGAACUCCAUUCACUGCAGACUCAAAACACAUCCCUGGCCCAGAGAGGGUCAUGCGCAUGCAGUCAGAAGUGCCCAGAGUAUAGCCUCUUCUGUGGUAAUCUGAGCUAUGAGCCCUGCAAAAUCAGAAAUGAGGCCACAUAGAUCUAUAAACCUUACACCAUCAGAAAGGAAAACCACACAGUUCCCACCCAUCAUAAAGCCGAGUAGACAUUCCCAUGUCAAAGAGACAGCAGGGGAGAGCAGCAAGAAGAGACCCGGUGCUGGAAAGAGGAAGACUCAGUGGCUAAGAGAACUUGCUGCUCUGACAGAAAACAGGAGUUCAUCUCCCAGCACCCAUGUUAAGCAAGUCAUGCCCUCUUCGGUUCUCUUCCUGCCUCCAUGGGGACCCAUACACACGAGAUCACAUAUACACAGAGGCAUAGCCACAAAACCUUUAAAGAAAAAGGUUGCAACUCUGGAAUGUAAACACAAGAUUCUACAGUUCCAUAUCUGACAUCCAGGGAUAAGGAGAUAUCUGAGGUGCAAGAGUCUAGGCAUUCAAGCCCCCCUGUUCUGCCAUUUGCACUUAUGGCCUCUCCCAUGAGUUGGCUCUGCUGCAUACCUAGAGCUUUCUCUGGUAGACGUCUCACAUCUCAAGCAGUUUCAAUGUCCAGAGGCUUCUACUACAACCUAGACAUCUUCAUGCAUCAGAGAAUCCAACCCUUCCUCACACUGUGCGGCCCCACAGGAUUUUUUUCAAACCCUGACAUCAGCCUGUGACCCUGUAACUUGUGCCUUCCGCAAACACAUAGAUAAUGGUAAGUUCUACUGCUAACUCAAGAGAUAGCUGGGUCCCCACAGACCAUGGCAGAUGUCCUCCAGGUGCGUGUGAUACUGAACUUGGUAAGCAUCUCCAGAAGGUCAACCAUUCGGCUCUUUAGUUUUGGGAGGGAAGUUAUUUGAUGUGCAUGAGUACACCCAUGCCAGAGGAAGCAUGAGAGAGCCAAAGGGCAACUUUUGGGUAUCGGGUACUGGUUCCCUUCUUCUAAUGUGUGAAUCAAUAGGCUUGGAGUCAGGGGCAGAUACCAAGUCAUCUCACUGACACAUUCUUUUGAAUUUCAAUUCAGGAAUUCUUUUACACAUCUGCAUGAGUGUGUGUGUGU
rnacentral:sRNA from 1 species